rnacentral:rRNA from 1 species
CGUAGGGUGCGAGCGUUAAUCGGAAUUACUGGGCGUAAAGCGUGCGCAGGCGGCUUUGUAAGACAGAUGUGAAAUCCCCGGGCUCAACCUGGGAACUGCAUUUGUGACUGCAAGGCUAGAGUGCGUCAGAGGGAGGUGGAAUUCCGCGUGUAGCAGUGAAAUGCGUAGAGAUGCGGAGGAACACCGAUGGCGAAGGCAGCCUCCUGGGAUGACACUGACGCUCAUGCACGAAAGCGUGGGGAGCAA